rnacentral:antisense_RNA from 1 species
GAUAACCAAGAAUAACCCUUGGAUCUAAUGUUGGAUUGACUAAUCUGACUUCACCACCACCAGGUGCCCAAGUAUCAUAAGCACCACCAAUGAAACACCAGUUCACAGUCCAUGCUAAUGCACCUACACCAAGAACACACAAAUGAUAACCAAGAAUAUUGGUCAUUUGAUUUUUAUCUCUCCA